CCAGGUUAUUCUAAUAUUAACAACUCGUCCAACCCAUAGUCAACGAGCUAUACUUAAUGAGUGGAUGGACAAUGACAAUAAAGAUAGGUGCUAUGCAUGAGUACAUGUUCACUGCCUACGACACGUUGAUUCAUCUACAAAUAUUGAGAGGUGACCAGAGUCACAUAGUGUAUAUGAUGCGUGAUGGGCAGUCAGCCUAUAAUCGUUAUUUGAUAAUGAUCAAAAAAAUUAAGGAGCUUGAAAGGCUCGACA
rnacentral:lncRNA from 1 species